CGCGUAGGCGGCUAUUCAAGUCAGAUGUGAAAGCCCGCGGCUCAACCGUGGAAGUGCAUUUGAAACUGUGUAGCUUGAGUACUGGAGGGGGUAGUGGAAUUCCCGGUGUAGAGGUGAAAUUCGUAGAUAUCGGGAGGAAUACCGGUGGCGAAGGCGACUACCUGGCCAGAUACUGACGCUGAGGUGCGAAAGCGUGGGGAGCAAACA
rnacentral:rRNA from 1 species